rnacentral:rRNA from 1 species
CCUACGGGUGGCAGCAGUGGGGAAUAUUGCACAAUGGGCGAAAGCCUGACGCAGCGACGCCGCGUGAGGGAUGAAGGGCUUCGGAGCGGAAACCUCUGUCAGCGGGGAAGAAAGGUCACUGGGCUAAGCAGCAGUGAAUUGACGGUACCUACAAAGGAAGCACCGCCUAACUCCGUGCCAGCAGCCGCGGUAAUACGGAGGGGGCGAGCGUUAAUCGGAUUUACUGGGCGUAAAGCGCUCGUAGACGGUAUGUCAAGUCAAGGGUGAAAUCCCCGCGCUCAACGUGGGAACUGCCUUUGAAACUGGCAGACUGGAGUGUGUGAGAGGAUAGUGGAAUUCCAGGUGUAGCGGUGAAAUCCGUAGAUAUCUGGAGGAACAUCAGUGGCGAAGGCGACUAUCUGGCACAUAACUGACGCUGAGGCGCGAAAGCGUGGGUAGCAAACAGGAUUAGAUACCCCUGUAGUC